AUGGAACAAUCAAAAGUUAUAGAUACGUUGGAGACGUAUCAGGUAUCACACCCCGAGUAUGUUGAUUUCAGUAGUGAUGAAGAUGACUUGUUAGGUGAUGAUGAUUUACUUGUUGACAACUCUAGUGAUGAAUACUAUGAUGAAACAUCAAUUAAUCAUGCUAAUCAAGAUAAAAUGAAUGACAAUGAUAAGGAGAAGAUUGAGCGCCUAACUACAGAACUAAACAAUCUUAAGUUAGCUCAUGAAACUAUCUUGGAAGAUCAUCGAGAACUUUUAAAGACUCAUGAGAAGUUACGCUCUGAAAAGCUCAACCUUGAGCAAGAGCAUGAGUUUUUAAAGGCAAUCAAUGAUGAUCUUUGCAAGAAAAGUUCUUCUUACAUUGCCAAGCUUUUACUCUUAUCUACUUACAUGCCACAAGUCAAGUCUAGUAACAAGAACAAGAAAGAUUCUUCAUCUAGUAGUAACAACAAUCAUGCUAAAUCCAAUGUUGUUGCUUCUAAUAGUUCUCUCGAUUCCACUAAUGAUUCUCUUAGCCAAGUUACACUUGAGCAAGAAAAUAGCUUAUUGAAGGGAAUUAUUGAGAAAGGUGUUUACAAGAGCCUUGCCGGAAGUAAGCAAUUCGAGGAGAUUGUACGCAAGCAAGGAAGGCACUGGAAGAAUCAAGGUGUUGGUUUUGAACGAAAUUUCAAUGCCAAUGGAGUUUAG
rnacentral:rRNA from 1 species